UGUGUGUGUGUGUGUGUGUGUGUGUGUGUGUGUGUGUGUGUGUGUGUGUGUAGCAGCAGGUGGACACAGCAUGUUAAAUCCGUGUUGCCCCCCUGGGCUGCUCUGACGUACUCUACCCUGCUGCCUUGGCAGCAACACAGGAUCCACAGUAACUCCUCAUAUUCCAUCCUAUUGUUUAUUAGGCUGAUUCCUCUAAGCAACACUACGAUCAAUCCUAGAAAUGAUCAACUGAUCUGAGGAAAACUGAUCUGAGGAAAACUGAUCUGAGCUCGUAAUUGUGAAAGUAAAAAGGCACACACAUCAGCUAGGGCUGAAGGUUUCCAUAGUGAGACAGACAGAACACAGCUCUUCCUACAGGGCUGAAGGUUUCCAUAGUGAGACAGACAGAACACAGCUCUUCCUACAGGGCUGAAGGUUUCCAUAGUGAGACAGACAGAGCACAGCUCUUCCUACAGGGCUGAAGGUUUCCAUAGUGAGACAGACAGAACACAGCUCUUCCUACAGGGCUGAAGGUUUCCAUAGUGAGACAGACAGAACACAGCUCUUCCUACAGGGCUGAAGGUUUCCAUAGUGAGACAGACAGAGCACAGCUCUUCCUACAGGGCUGAAGGUUUCCAUAGUGAGACAGACUGAACACAGCUCUUCCUACAGGGCUGAAGGUUUCCAUAGUGAGACAGACAGAGCACAGCUCUUCCUACAGGGCUGAAGGUUUCCAUAGUGAGACAGACAGAGCACAGCUCUUCCUACAGAGUUAGUAUUCAGUCUGCUAUAGCUAAACAUUGUUUUGAUUAAUUUACCCCAAACCAUCUUACUGUGUGAAAUUUGAGAAACUGUAGGUUCAUUCAAAUAUAUGAGUUACAGAGAGCUGUUCUAGGUGCUGGAUAUCUGAGAUAUUGUCAACCCUAUAUGUAUAUGUAUGUCCAAGUUGCUGAAUUCAAUGUUGUUUUCUCCUAUUUAUUUUUUUAGUACAGUGUCCAUGUUUUGCAUAUACACGGCAUUGCUAUGUGCUCAAGUUCACUCCAUGGGCUGAAACAUGUGAACUAAAUUGCAUUUGAGCAUGUUUUUUUUCUCUGUAAGAUAUCCUAUUUAGAGAACAAUCUUAUCAGCGUCAACAUCAUUGUCCAAUUUAAGCUACAUUUGGGACAAAAUACUUUUUAAAAUUUUAUGACAUGGUACACCGUACUCUUUAUUAUUUAAAUGAAUACAAAUCAAAGCAUUUGAGAGAAAAAAUGUAAUUCCUACAUUUUUAUAUAUCUUUUUGCUCCUAUAGUCAAGACUAAGAUGAUGACCCUAAUGAUAGAGAUUCUAUGUAUGGGAAAAUACAGUCCUUUCAUUGAUGAGAUUCUAUGUAUGGGAAAAAUACAGUCCUUUCAUUGAUGAGAUUCUAUGUAUGGGAAAAAUACAGUCCUUUCAUUGAUGAGAUUCUAUGUAUGGGAAAAUACAGUCCUUUCAUUGAUGAGAUUUUAUGUAUGGGAAAAUACAGUCCUUUCAUUGAUGAGAUUCUAUGUAUGGGAAAAUACAGUCCUUUCAUUGAUGAGAUUCUAUGUAUGGGAAAAAUACAGUCCUUUCAUUGAUGAGAUUCUUUGUUCAUUAGAGAUGUCAAGAUGAUGAAUGUUUCCUAGAAUUACAGUGAUGUUUGCGUUCAUACUGCUAAUUUGAGAUUAUCCAGUUUAUGUUGUUGAAUCACGUCAUGAUGAUUAUUUAACAACCUCAUCAGCAUAUAUUUGUGCUAGCUUUGUGAUUUCAUGAGAAAUGGUGAACUAUGUAGAAUUCCAAUAGACAAAGGCAAAGCAGCUCAAUAAUUAAUGUGUGUAUACGGAAUGCAUGCGAGGGAAUUGCUAUCUGCAGUAUUCCUAAUUUGACAGCACAUUUUGGGAAUGCAGCACUAUGGUCUGUGCAUUUCUACCCUGUCAAGAUGUCACCCAUAGUUGUUCACUGACAGAGAGCUAAGCUGAGAGGAGAGAUGCACACUGACACUGUCCACACUCCACAGACUGUUCUCAUGGUUUCAUUCAUACUUACCAGCCAUGUAUUUAGAGAGGUUUCUGCAUUAUGAUGCAUUUACAUGACACUUCAACAUUCUAUGGCAGCCAUGUUAGCUCCCCAUUAACGUCACAUGGGGAAUAUUUAAAUAUUGCUAUGUAACUGUAUGUCUAGAAUUAGAACAAUAUACAAAAUUGUAAAUGUUGGCCCAACUUUGUAAAUAUAUUGCUCUGAUACCAAGCUCCUUCACUCAGUGCUAACUCUAUAGAAUCUCUAUAGACAACGUUUACUGCUGAGACAUUUAAGUGAUAAUGGAUAUGCUGGUGUUUGGAGGAUAUAUUGUUACAGGUGUUGUUAGGCCCGAGAUGAAGUCGAGGGCCGGCAAACUGCCAAUAUAUCCUCCAAACACCGGCUUUGAGGGCAUUAUCACUUUUAUACAACAGGUUACCAACAUAUUCAAAUAAUGAUUGACAUAUUUUCAUUUAAAAUGUUAUUUUGAUUAAUUUAUUCAUACUAUUUCAUCCUUCCACAGAUAUAGUACCGACAGAUAUCUAGGGUUGCUACCCAAGCCGCCUAGUCGUUCAUUCUAUUGGUUCGGUUGCCAGAGACGAGACCCAGUCGUUCAGUCUUUUUGUUCUAAAUGUUCCAUUUCUAUACUGGCUGGCAACGUUCUUAUCCCUUGCUUGCUAGCUAGCCAACUACAGCUAACUUACAGUCACAUUAAACUUCAAAAAGAAUAACAACAGUAUCUGCAUUUGCAUUUGUUUAAUCUGUUUUCUAGUGACAUUUAUUUGGAUACAUUCAUAACAAUGAACUAAUGAAGCGCGAUUUCGCCUGGCAUAGAAAAUGUGCUCUCUCAUCAGGUCACUGUUGUUCAGAGGAGCUAGCCAACAACACAGCUAACACAAUCACUUCAAACACUGAAGCUGGAAAGACUGCAAACUAGUUGCACUUUGUUUCGUUCUACCUUUUUCCAGUUGACAUUUCUUUGUAUAUAUCCAUAAAAAUGAUGCCAGCUGAUUCAUGACUUCGACAGGCUGAGAAACGCUGCUUGCCUGUCUGUCUCAGCAAGGUUUAAACAAAUCUCCGCUGUUGAAAACUAAAUGCUAGUCUAAAAGAAAUGUGAGAUAAUGUCUAGAUUAAUUUUAUAGUGCAGAUCAAGUGUAUAAAUUGCCUGGCAGGGCUGAUGAGACAGUGGCUUGUGCAGUCAGAUGGAACAGAGUAAAUAGGCAUUUUAACAUCAUAGAUUUAGCUGGUGGUAACUUGUGGAAUAGACACCGGCUGGAAUGCGCUUUUAACCAAUCAACAUUCAGUAUUAGACCCACCCGUUGUAUAACAUCUGAUAACCAACCGUGUCUGUUGCUCUCCUGACUUAGUGGGCUUUGGGUUUGGUUUCAGGUUUAGCUGCUUUCUCUGGUGAGAAGAAGUGUAGAAUGUAACAUGAUGCUAUCGAUAUGAUAUUGGAGAUGGUUUCUGUUGAUAUUUGAUGAUAUAUUUAGUCGUUUCAUUCAGCUUUGUAAAACGUGAGAACAUAUGGUAACAGCUGUUUAGAAACAUGUUUAUUUUUGGAGGAGUGUGGAGUCUAGCCGACAGAGCAGUGUUUCCCAAACGGUGGGUCGGGGCCCUCUGGUGGGUCGCAGCCAGUUACUCUUGGUCCCAGCUGGGCUUAGGUGGGUCACAAAGGUUUGGGAUCCACUGGCCUGUGGUAUGUAAGGUAGGAAACGUGACCAGUUUUUGCUUUCAUUUUCUUGCCAUUGCUGAAUCAUUGUGUAAAUGUACUGCAGAGUACCUUCUGAAUCAUUAUUAAAAACCUGGAAUGUACA